GUAAUAGCUCACUAGUCGAGAGGUCCUGCGCCGAAAAUGUCCGGGGCUGAAACACGACACCGAAGCUGUGGACUUGCCUAUGGCAAGUGGUAGAGGAGCAUUCUUAACUGCGGCGAAGCAGUACCGAUAAGGAGCUGUGGAGUGUUAAGAAGAGAGAAUGCCGGAAUGAGUAGCGAGAUGGAGGUGGGAAUCCUCCAGGCCGAAUAUCUAAGGUUUCCAGAGUAAAGCUGAUCUGCUCUGGGUAAGUCGGGACCUAAGGCAAGGUCGAAAGACGUAGUCGAUGGACAACAGGUUGAAAUUCCUGUACCACAUAUCAUCAGAACUGUGGGGACACAGGGCGAUAACCAGACCCGGGAAUGAAAAGACCGGGGCAAGCGAAGAAGGAGUUAAGCCGGCAAAUCCGCUUAACAAUCCGAAGACGUGAUGCGGACCGAACAAAAGUAGGGAAGCUGGAGAUUCGAACUGUCAAGAAAAGCCGCUAUUGUGUGAUAUGUGCCCGUACCGUAAACCGACACAGGUGGAUGAGGAGAGAAUCCUAAGGCCGGCGGGAGAAGCAUUGUUAAGGAACUCGGCAAAAUGACCCUGUAACUUCGGGAUAAAGGGUGCCUGCGCAAGCAGGCCGCAGAGAAUAGGCUCAAGCAACUGUUUAGCAAAAACACAGGUCUAUGCAAAACCGAAAGGUGAGGUAUAUGGGCUGACGCCUGCCCGGUGCUGGAAGGUUAAGAGGAGAGGUUAGAGCAAUCGAAGCUUUGAAUUUAAGCCCCAGUAAACGGCGGCCGUAACUAUAACGGUCCUAAGGUAGCGAAAUUCCUUGUCGGGUAAGUUCCGACCCGCACGAAAGGCGUAAUGAUUUGAGCGCUGUCUCGACAAUGCACCCGGUGAAAUUGAAAUACCAGUGAAGAUGCUGGUUACCUGCGCCAGGACGGAAAGACCCCAUGGAGCUUUACUCCAGCUUGAUACUGGGAUUCGGUAUUGCAUGUACAGGAUAGGUGGGAGGCUGUGAAAUGGUAACGCCAGUUGCCAUGGAGCCGCUGUUGGGAUACCACCCUUGCAGUACUGGGUUUCUAACCAGCAGCCGUGACCCGGCUGGGGGACAAUGUCAGGUGGGGAGUUUGACUGGGGCGGUCGCCUCCGAAAGGGUAUCGGAGGCGCUCAAAGGUUCCCUCAGAAUGGU
rnacentral:rRNA from 1 species